rnacentral:rRNA from 1 species
CUGGCUCAGAACGAACGCUGGCGGCAGGCUUAACACAUGCAAGUCGAGCGCCCCGCAAGGGGAGCGGCAGACGGGUGAGUAACGCGUGGGAAUCUACCCAUCUCUACGGAACAACUCCGGGAAACUGGAGCUAAUACCGUAUACGUCCUUUUGGAGAAAGAUUUAUCGGAGAUGGAUGAGCCCGCGUUGGAUUAGCUAGUUGGUGGGGUAAAGGCCUACCAAGGCGACGAUCCAUAGCUGGUCUGAGAGGAUGAUCAGCCACACUGGGACUGAGACACGGCCCAGACUCCUACGGGAGGCAGCAGUGGGGAAUAUUGGACAAUGGGCGCAAGCCUGAUCCAGCCAUGCCGCGUGAGUGAUGAAGGCCCUAGGGUUGUAAAGCUCUUUCAACGGUGAAGAUAAUGACGGUAACCGUAGAAGAAGCCCCGGCUAACUUCGUGCCAGCAGCCGCGGUAAUACGAAGGGGGCUAGCGUUGUUCGGAAUUACUGGGCGUAAAGCGCACGUAGGCGGAUUGUUAAGUUAGGGGUGAAAUCCCAGGGCUCAACCCUGGAACUGCCUUUAAUACUGGCAAUCUAGAGUCCGAGAGAGGUGAGUGGAAUUCCGAGUGUAGAGGUGAAAUUCGUAGAUAUUCUGGAGGAACACCAGUGGCGAAGGCGGCUCACUGGCUCGGUACUGACGCUGAGGUGCGAAA